UACCAUAUCCCUUUCUCAAAAUCAGAAGAUUUCCCCUUUUACAAUUUCUCCAUCUCGUCCAAAACCCAUCACUUCAUUUGAAUCUCAAAUAACUUUAGAAUUUAGAAAUAGCAAUAUAAAUGUAUCAUUUUCUUGCUUAACUCUCUUUUUUUCUUCUCUUCAUCUACUACGGAUUGAAAUACUAAUAUCGGGUUAGUGUUUUUCUUUUUUAUAAUUGAAUUUGAGUUGUUCUAAAUAGCUUUUUGGAGUGCAUUUUGAUUUCACAAAUAAAUUGAAUCAUGUCUAUUUAUUGUGCAUUUGUUUGUGGCCUGCGUUUUUACUAUAGAAGAAUUGAGACCUAAUUUAUGUGGUGUUGUAAUAGAGUGGUAAUAAGAAGAUGAAUUUGUUGCAGAAGGUUGUGUAGGGGAUGUUAUUACACAAUUUUCUGGUGUGAAUAUCAUAUUCACAUAUUAUGCAUUAUAACUGUUUGACGAAAUGCCAUGUGGAACAUCUUAAAUAUUAUGACUCUCUUUAUUCUCCUAAAUUCUUUUCUAAUUCACUAGUGUGCAGGUCAAUAACAACGGAUUCUUCAAAUUCUGAAGAUUGCACGGCCUAUGUGCCACACCAUUUGGAAGAAAAGCUAAACACAACUUGUUGUGUGUUAUCGCCUUUCGUACCUCUAUUGUGAGUAUUACUGCAUCUUAUUGUUGAGUAUUUUUGAGCUUACUAACUAAUGAUUCAUGUGCAACAACUUGUUUUUGCUAGAAACCCAACUUACGGACCAAGCGUGAUGAAUAUCGUUGAAUUGUGAUUUCCUUUUGUGAUCCUCAUUAACUGGUUAGUCCCUUUUUGAUGCAUUACCAUUUGAAUGCUUUGAAGUUCUGCUACGAAGCAAACAUGUACACCACACUUGACUUUGUAUUUUUGUUUAAAUUUGUGUAUUUAGAAGGCAUGAUUAUAGAAGUUUCAAUCAAUUCUAUCUUUUGGUCCUUUUAUAUAUGUAGAUUCAUGUUUCAUAUUUUAGCUUUCCGUUGGUAUGUAGUUGGAUCGAUGCUUCGCCUCAUCCGUGCUCCUUGGAAACCUUGACUCUUCAAUAGAUUAAAUUCAUCUUAACUUAAGAAAAGUGGUACUUUCUCUUUGCCUUACCGUCUUUUCUCAGCGGAUCAGCCACAUAGUCCGAAGUAAGGUUAGUGACGGGAACUUAGCUAUAUUUUGGUCAGGUUUCCGGGGUUGGUUCCUCUACUAGAAUAGGUCCCGAACGCCUCACUUCUCUUACUUUCGGUGCUUAAGAUGGUGACAUUGUAUAUUUGUUAGUCUGUUUGAAAAUGUCUUGCCUUAUCCAUUAUAUGUUGGGAAAAUUUGGAAACAAAAAUUGUGAGUGCAAAUACGAAGAAAGAUAGAAGUUCAGUGUGCAUAUCAUGAUCAAGCAGGCAGAAAGAAACAUUUUGAGUGUCAUGUCUCAAGCCUUUUCCUUCUAAUAACUGGACAUUACCAAAAAAAGAAAAAAAGAAGAUUGACGAAAAAUAAAGUAUCACACGCUUUUACCUGAAUAUCAAAUACUUGGACACCAUAUUGUAAAGUACCACUUAGCUAGCCGUAAAUAUUUAUUGCUUGUGUUUAGUAUCAUAUGCACAAGAAUGUGUCUGUAAUUUCUUAUCCCGGAUACAAAAUUAGUUUCCCCAAAGUAAGGAUGAGAGUAUAAAGAUUGAUUGUACUAUAUCCGGACUGCCUGUUCAAGUACUUUAAUCACUUUUGAUAUCAUGUUCAGUUUUUUUUUAAAUAUAGUGUAAUGUCUGAAAUUAUUCAUGUUCCAACUACAUGUUCAUAUAAAAAAUGGUGCUUAGGAUCAUAUCUAUACUUUAAUAUAUUAUUUUCUUAUUUAUUUUUUUAAUUGUUAUUGUAGCUGGUGGAGGAGUGAAGAAAUCAAAAUUGCUAGAUACAUGAACAAUUUUUUUCUCUUGUAAAAGUAUAUUGAUAUGUUUGAAUAAAAUAAUGUUUCACUAUUUUGAAUAAUAUUAUUGAACAUUUAUUAAAUUAUUUCUCUAA
rnacentral:lncRNA from 1 species